rnacentral:rRNA from 1 species
GGGGCCCGCACAAGCGGAGGAGCAUGUGGUUAAUUCGAUGAUACGCGAGGAACCUUACCUGGGCUCGAACGUAAGAUGACUGUAGGUGAAAGCUUACAUCUCUUCGGAGCAUUUUACGAGGUGCUGCAUGGUUGUCGUCAGCUCGUGCCGUGAGGUGUCGGGCUAAGUCCCAUAACGAGCGCAACCCCUACCUUUAGUUGCCAUCAGGUUAAGCUGGGGACUCUAAAGGAACUGCCUACGCAAGUAGUGAGGAAGGCGGGGAUGACGUCAAAUCAGCACGGCCCUUACGUCCAGGGCUACACACGUGCUACAAUGGCCGAUACAGAGGGCAGCUACCUGGUGACAGGAUGCAAAUCUCCAAAGUCGGUCUCAGUUCGGAUCGGAGUCUGCAACCCGACUCCGUGAAGUUGGAUUCGCUAGUAAUCGCGCAUCAGCCAUGGCGCGGUGAAUACGUUCCCGGGCCUU